rnacentral:lncRNA from 10 species
CCCCAGGACUCCAGGAUGGGACAGGGCAGCCACUUCUCACCAAGAUGAAGUCUUGCUGUCGCCCAGGUUGGAGUGCAGUGGCACGAUCUCGGUUCACUGCAACCUCCCUCUGCCUUCUGGGUUCAACCAAUUCUGCUGCCUCAGCCUCCGGAGUAGCUGGGACGACAGGCGCCCACCACCACGCCCUGCUGAUUUUCAUAUUUUUUGUAGAGAUGCGGUUUCACCAUAUUGGCCAGGCUGGUCUCGAACUCCUGACCUCAGGUGAUCUACCCAUUUUGGCCUCCCAAAGUGCUGGGAUUACAGGCAUGAGCCACCGCACCAGUAUAAAAACUGGUAUCAUGUAAUACACACAUUUUCACUACUUUAAAA